AUUGAACGCUGGCGGCAUGCUUUACACAUGCAAGUCGAACGGUAACAGGUCUUCGGAUGCUGACGAGUGGCGAACGGGUGAGUAAUACAUCGGAACGUGCCUAGUAGUGGGGGAUAACUACUCGAAAGAGUAGCUAAUACCGCAUGAGAUUUACGGAUGAAAGCAGGGGACCUUCGGGCCUUGUGCUACUAGAGCGGCUGAUGGCAGAUUAGGUUGUUGGGUGGGUAAAGGCUUACCAAGCCUGCGAUCUGUAGCUGGUCUGAGUGACCGACCAUCCACAGUGUGACUGAGACAGGUCCCUGCAUCGAACAGGCGUCAGCGGUUUUGAAGUUUGGUGCAUGAGGGAAAGCCUGAACCAACAAGGCCGCGUGUACGAUGAGUUCCCACGGGUUGAAAACUGCUUUUGUACCGAACGAAAAUCCUCGAGCUAAUAUCCCCAGGUCAUGACGGUACCGUAAGAAUAAGCACCGGCUAACUACGUGCCAGCCGCCGCCGUAA
rnacentral:rRNA from 1 species